rnacentral:lncRNA from 1 species
GGGAUUCCUUUAUGAGGUGCAACCAAAACAGCUGUUUGACAUAGCAACAGGGAUAUUCUGUCAAGGUGUCUCUCUAGCAUUUGUUCUUAAUACCGUUGUGGUUUUGAUCACUAAAAUGGCUGUGACUUUUGGACUCUCGUUGAGGUAAUUCUAAUGGGCAUCAUGCCUACACUGGACCUGAACCAACUGGAUCCUAUGCCAAAGCAAGUGUGGUGCCUAGUCCAAAUGCUAAAGCUACUGGCCACAAUGCCACGUCAGCAGAAGCUACUGGCCACAAUGCCACGUCAGCAGAAGCUACUGGCCACAAUGCCACGUCAGCAGAAGCUACUGGCCACAAUGCCACGUCAGCAGAAGCUACUGGCCACAAUGCCACGUCAGCAGAAGCUACUGGCCACAAUGCCACGUCAGCAGAAGCUACUGGCCACAAUGCCACGUCAGCAGAAUCUACUGGCCACAAUGCCCCGUCAAGUGUGAAGUCCGGCCCCGGCGCCUCAGCAGAAGCGUCCGGCGCCUCAGCAGAAGCGUCCGGAGCCUCAGCAGAAGCGUCCGGCGCCUCAGCAGAAGCGUCCGGCGCCUCAGCAGAAGCCUCAGGAGAAGCGUCCGGCGCCUCAGCAGAAGCCUCAGGAGAAGCGCCUCAGCAGAAGCGUCCGGCCCCGGCGCCUCAGCAGAAGCGUCCGGCCCCGGCGCCUCAGCAAUAGCAUCCGGCCCCGGCGCCUCAGCAAUAGCG